CGUUAGUAACAAUAGAGAUUGAAUGAAGCAUGGCUGAUUAAACACAUCUGUGAUAUGACUAAUUUUUAUGAAUCUUCCACAUGGAUUAAGAUACUUCGAGAGGCUGUACCAUAAAGAUGAAACUAUGCUCUCUGUGGAAACAGUUACAUCAGAAGUCCUGCCUCCAGAGACUGAAAAAUGAGUUGCUGAUUGGGCCAACAUGCUUAUGAACUUCGGGGACGGAUUUUGCCUUACCUAUGCUACCUGGUUUGACUUUUGUAACAAUAGAGAUUGAAUGAAGCAUGGCUGAUUAAACACAUCUGUGUUAUGGCUAA